rnacentral:rRNA from 1 species
UGGGGAAUUUUGGACAAUGGGCGAAAGCCUGAUCCAGCAAUGCCGCGUGUGUGAAGAAGGCCUUCGGGUUGUAAGGCACUUUUGUCCGGAAAGAAAUGGCUCUGGUUAAUACCUGGGGUCGAUGACGGUACCGGAAGAAUAAGGACCGGCUAACUACGUGCCAGCAGCCGCGGUAAUACGUAGGGUCCAAGCGUUAAUCGGAAUUACUGGGCGUAAAGCGUGCGCAGGCGGUUGUGCAAGACCGAUGUGAAAUCCCCGAGCUUAACUUGGGAAUUGCAUUGGUGACUGCACGGCUAGAGUGUGUCAGAGGGGGGUAGAAUUCCACGUGUAGCAGUGAAAUGCGUAGAGAUGUGGAGGAAUACCGAUGGCGAAGGCAGCCCCCUGGGAUAACACUGACGCUCAUGCACGAAAGCGUGGGGAGCAAACAGGAUUAGAUACCCUGGUAGUCCACGCCCUAAACGAUGUCAACUAGUUGUUGGGGAUUCAUUUCCUUAGUAACGUAGCUAACGCGUGAAGUUGACCGCCUGGGGAGUACGGUCGCAAGAUUAAAAGCUCAAAUGAAUUGACGGGGUCAUAGCUGUUU